rnacentral:rRNA from 1 species
UACGUAGGGGGCAAGCGUUGUCCGGAGUUACUGGGCGUAAAGCGCACGCAGGCGGUCGUGCACGUUUGGGGUGACAGCUUCCGGCUUAACUGGAAGAGGACCUCGAAGACGGCGCGACUUGAGGGGUUCAGAGGGACCGAGAAUUCCGGGUGGAGUGGUGAAAUGCGUAGAUAUCCGGAGGAAUACCCAAGGCGAAGGCAUGGUCCUGGGAACCAUCUGACGCUCAGGUGCGAAAGCGAGGGGAGCGAACGGG